CAGUCUGCAACUCGACUGCACGAAGUCGGAAUUGCUAGUAAUCGCGGAUCAGCAUGCCGCGGUGAAUACGUUCCCGGGCCUUGUACACACCGCCCGUCACACCAUGAGAGUCGGAAACACCCGAAGUCGGUAGUCUAACCUCGUGAGGACGCCGCCGAAGGUGGGCUUGAUAAUUGGGGUGAAGUCGUAACAAGGUAGC
rnacentral:rRNA from 1 species